AUUGAACGCUGGCGGCAGUCCUAACACAUGCAAGUCGAGCGGUAGCACAGAGAGCUUGCUCUCGGGUGACGAGCGGCGGACGGGUGAGUAAUGUCUGGGAAACUGCCUGAUGGAGGGGGAUAACUACUGGAAACGGUAGCUAAUACCGCAUAACGUCGCAAGACCAAAGAGGGGGACCUUCGGGCCUCUUGCCAUCAGAUGUGCCCAGAUGGGAUUAGCUAGUAGGUGGGGUAACGGCUCACCUAGGCGACGAUCCCUAGCUGGUCUGAGAGGAUGACCAGCCAGCCUGGAACUGAGACACGGUCCAGACUCCUACGGGAGGCAGCAGUGGGGAAUAUUGCACAGUGGGCGCAAGCCUGAUGCAGCCAUGCCGCGUGUAUGAAGAAGGCCUUCGGGUUGUAAAGUACUUUCAGCGGGGAGGAAGGCGAUAAGGUUAAUAACCUCGUCGAUUGACGUUACCCGCAGAAGAAGCACCGGCUAACUCCGUGCCAGCAGCCGCGGUAA
rnacentral:rRNA from 1 species